CAACUAAGCCUUAAUCCCAAAUUUGGAUCUUUUUUUGCCAUUCAACUCUCUUAGACACCAAGUUCACAACAAUUUUCAAAACUUGUAAAUCCUUUGAUAGUACUUCUUUCCAUGCCAUCUUAGGUCUCUCCCUUCCCCUUUCCAUUCAUUCAUCUACUAACUUAUCACACUUCCGUACCGCGACAUUUGAUUCUCUAAAUUGGACA
rnacentral:misc_RNA from 1 species